AACGUAGGAAGCAAGCGUUAUCCGGAUUUACUGGGCGUAAAGGGCAUGCAGGCGGUUUUGCAAGUUGGAGUUGAAAGCUCUCGGCUAAACUGGGAGAGGUGCUUCAAGACUGCAGAACUAGAGGAUGGUAGAGGAGAGUGGAAUUCCCGGUGUAGUGGUGAAAUGCGUAGAUAUCGGGAGGAACACCAGUGGCGAAAGCGGCUCUCUGGGCCAUCACUGACGCUCAGAUGCGAAAGCCAGGGGAGAGAACGGG
rnacentral:rRNA from 1 species